rnacentral:misc_RNA from 1 species
UUCUCUUCAAACUCUGUGACGAUCACCUCUUCUUGAGGCUUCUCUUCCUCUUUCUUCCCCAUGAAAUCAAAAAGCCCACGAUCCUUGGUCUCCACAGCUGCACCCCCACCAACGACAGGGGUCUCAGACUCAUGGCUCUUGUGGUGAUCCUGCUCCGCCAUUCAGAUCAAGAAUCACAGAAAACUUAGGGGGAAAAAAUAAAAACAAGUGAAAAGCUGGUUUAACGAAAGUAAGUUAAGAACUGAAUAGCCUCUUCGAGCUCGUAAAAGCGCUGCUUGUUUUGUAAC